GGGUUUUUAGCUCAACCGGCAGAGCAGACGCCUCUUAAGCGUCGAGGUCUCGGUUCAAAUCCGAGAGAACCCACCA
rnacentral:tRNA from 1 species